rnacentral:lncRNA from 1 species
GUUCCUUGUUUUAGCUGACGACACUCGAGAGCGCCAAUUUUCCUAGAUUCGAUUUUGUGGUUUGGAACUGUGGUUUUGGAAUCCAGAGUAGUCGCCUCGUUCUAGUAUCCAAUUGCUCCAGCACCAACUGGUGAAAAGACCAUCAUUCUUCUACUCAGUUGCAUUUGAAGCUUUGUCAAAAACCAGACACAAUUGGAGACACAGGUUCUUCUAUCAAGGCCUUGACUGGAAUGGCAUAUUUUCAGAUAUGACCACAUUGCUUUGAGGAAAUGAGGCUGAUGUUGCAGAGCUGAUAAAACCCCCACAGAAAGGCCAGCCUACCUCUGGUGUUGGCCAGAUUGAGAAAUAAAGGGAAAGAGUACGAAAGAGAGAAAUUUUAAAGCUGGGUGUCCGGGGGAGACAUCAUAUGUCAGCAGGUUCCGUGAUGCCCCUCAAGCCACAAAACCAGCAAGUUUUUAUUAGUGAUUUUCAAAGGGGAGGGAGUGUAUGGGUCACAGAGAUCACAUGCUUCACAAGGCAAUAAAAUAUCACAAGGCAAAUGGGGGCAGAGCGAGAUCACAGGACCAGGGCAAAAUUAAAAUUGCUAAUGAAGUUUUGAGCACGCAUUGUCAUUGAUAACAUCUUACCAGGAGACAGGGUUUGAGAGCAGAAAACCGGUCUGACUAAAAUUUACUAGGCAGGAAUUUCCUCAUCCUAAUAGGCCUGGGAGUGCUACGGGAGACCGGGGCUUAUUUCAUCCCUUAUCUGCAACCGUCUAAGACAGACACUCCCAGAGUGGCCAUUUUAGAGACCUACCCCUGGGAAUGCAUUCUCUUUCUCAGGGCUGUUCCUUGCUGAGAAAAAGAAUUCAGCGAUAUUUCUCCUAUUUGCUUUUGUAAGAAGAGAAAUAUGGCUCUGUUCCACCCAGCUCUCAGGCCGUCAGACCUAAUGGUUAUCUCCCUUGUUCCCUGAACAUCACUGUUAUCCUGUUCUUUUUUCAAGGUGCCCAGAUUUCAUAUUGUUUAAACACACAUGCUUUACGAACAAUUUGUGCAGUUAACGCAAUCAUCACAGGGUCCUGAGGCGACAUACAUCCUCAGCUUACAAAAAUGACAGGAUUAAGAGAUAAAAGACAGGCAUAGGAAAUCAUAAGAGUAUUGAUUAGGGAAGUGAUAAAUGUCUAUGAAAUCUUCACAAUUUAUGUUCAGAUAUUGCAGUAAAGACAGGCAUAAGAAAUUAUAAAAGUAUUAAUUUGGGGAACUAAUAAAUGUCCAUGAAAUCUUCA